AAAACUUUUUCGAAAAAAAAAAAAAUCUGUUCUUAUCAGUUUAAUAUCUGAUACGUCCCCCAUCCGGGGACUACAUAUUAAAUGGAUUUUUAGAUCACGGAGCUGGAGCCGGGGCUUGCUCCGUCCACUCCAUGCAUCGGCCUGGUAUUGCAGUGUCUCCAGGAACGGUGUGCUUUCC
rnacentral:snRNA from 1 species